UCUCCCCUCUCCUCUCUCCUCUCUCCCCUCUCUCCUCUCUCCUCUCCUCUCCCUCCCUCCCCUCAAAGGUGAGAAUGCCUGCCCCGCACCCCCUUCCACUGAGGAAUGGUUCAAACAGGAUGGUGCCUUCCUGCAUGAUCUCAAUGCAAACUCUGCUGCUUCCUGGAUCAAAUCAUAAGAAACUGGGGGAAGCCAAAAGACAAACAAAUUACAGAGAAUCACGCUGACAGCCCCGUGCUUGUCAGAUAUAUGCAAGCAGAAGCUGUUGCUGUAAAAUAGAAACCUCCCUCCUCACCCCUCUUUUCCCUGCCUCAGUGGAACCUCCCAGCCUCAGCACUGCAUUUCACAGUUUGGUUUUUUUCGUUUUACAUUUUCAUAUCUGGGGGGGGGGGGAGGGGGAGAGAGGGGAGGGGUCGUGGUGUAGCACGUGCCAGCCGUGUAUGCAAUGAUACAAAUUAACAAGCUCCCGAAAUCAAUGUGCAACCGUUUCAUUGAUUACCCCAUUCAUCGAUUUAUCAGAUUCGCUGGCUGGCUUGGAUUUAAACGGCGCCUGUUUGCACCUGCUGGUUAUUUGAUUAAUCAGUUAGUCGGUCGGUCGUUAAGGGUUGAUUUUGUUUUUGCUGGACGAUUAGUUAACAGAGAAAUACAAACUCAGCCCCCACCUCCUCCUCUCCCUCCCCCCUCAACGGGAGAAACGGACGAGGGCAAGAACUCAGGACAUUUAUUAUUAUUAUUAUUAUUAUUAUUAUUAUUAUUAUUAUUAUUAUUAUUAUUAUUAUUAUUAUUAGCAUUGGAUUUAUUUAUUAAUUUUUGUCUUUUUUAUUGGGGGGGGGAGAAUUAUUUAUGUAUAUAUUUAUUUAUUGAACUGAUUAAUUAUUUAAUGUGUGUGUUUUUUUCAACUUUCUCUGUAAGUCUUAAUCUGCAGGUUUGAUUAGAAUUUCAACUGUAUUAAUUAAUUUAUUUCUAUUUUAAAUCCGACCCAUUUAUAUAUUUAUUUAUUAUUAUUAUUAUUAUUAUUAUUAUUAUUAUUAUUAUUAUUAUUAUUAUUAUUAUUAUUAUUUUCUUCUCCAAUUUCCCUUUCGGAUUACAAAACCAAACCCACCGCCAUCCAACAGCCAACAGGAAUUAAGAACGGGACUUAAAUAACAAAACACAGAAGACCAACUAUAUAAAUAUAUAUAAAUAUAUACAUCUCAACAUAUCUCUCGAUCUAUGGAUCCAGCACUCCAGAUAACGCAUCAUUGAGUAACGCGCUCUCCAAUUCGGACCCUACAGACUUCAACGCAUCUCCGGUUAAAAUCUGCGCGCCGCUAUUGCUGAGGACGUGUGACGUAUGACGUAUGAUGGACUCUACAAGCUAUGGGAAGGUCACUCUACAAAGAACGAAACCAUUCUACAUAUAUAUAUAUAUAUAUAUAUAUAUAUAUAUAUAUAUAUAUAUAUAUAUAUAUAUAUAUAUAUAUAUAUAUAUAUAUAUAUAUACAACUGUGUGUAUAUUUGUCCAAACACCCCAAGAUUUGUGAUUUUAAGCCUUGAUCUAUCGGCCUGCAUGAAAACACCUCUGGGCUUGAGAAUCUCAAUUCAAUAACCAUUGACCGCUUUGUGCUUGAAUUAGACAAACAAAACUCAAAACACAGUCCGUGAUCCGGCGUGUUCCUCCUCUCCUCCUGCGUGACGGGACGUGCUUGGGUGGUCUAUUAAAAUCGUCCACUGAAGCAGACCAGCCCUAAUGUGACUGUUCACUGUGGACCAGGAUUUUCAGAGACGGUGGUUUGAUUUUUAGACGCACAGCGAAUUAAAACUGCAGAAGCAAUGGGGUGUUGAGUGUGUGUGUGUGUGUGUGUGUGUGUGUGUGUGUGUGUGUGUGUGUGUGACACACACACACACACACACACACACACAUAUACACCUAUAUCUACAUAUAUUUAUAUAUAUCAAAGGAAAUCUUCAGAAACGAUGGACAAUUGUGUGAGAAUGGAAUUCACAUAACACAAAACAGUACCGAUUGAUCAAUAUUUAUUAAAUGAAUAAUACUAAGAAAACUCUUAAUAACAAAGACUUUACGCUUGUAAGUGCAAGGCUAUUGAAAGGACCUCGAUUGAAAGGAGUCUGGGACUGAAGAAGACUUCGAUUUGGGAUUACAGUGCCUGUUUGAAGGAUCGUUUGGAUUUGGGAAUGCAAACCCGAGGGGUUAUGAAUCGGAAACGGGCGACUUCCAGACAGGUGCAAUCGACUCAGGAUUGAGUUAAGAAUCCUGGAAUGUUCCAAAUUGAAAAAAAUACAGGAGGGGUCCCGGAAUGUUCCAAAUUGAAAAAAAAACAGGAGGGGUCCCGGAAUGUUCCAAAUUGAAAAAAAUACAGGAGGGGUCCCGGAAUGUUCCAAAUUGAAAAGAAAAACUGGAGGGGUCCCGGAAUGUUUCAAAUUGAAAAAAAAAACAGGAGGGGUCCCGGAAUGUUCCAAAUUGAAAAAAAAAACAGGAGGGGUCCCGGAAUGUUCCAAAUUAAAAAAAAAAAACAGGAGGGGUCCCGGAAUGUUCCAAAUUGAAAAAAAACAA